rnacentral:rRNA from 1 species
UGGGGAAUAUUGGACAAUGGGCGAAAGCCUGAUCCAGCAAUGCCGCGUGAGUGAUGAAGGCCUUAGGGUUGUAAAGCUCUUUUACCAGGGAUGCAGUACCUGGAGAAUAAGCUCCGGCUAACUCCGUGCCAGCAGCCGCGGUAAUACGGAGGGAGCUAGCGUUGUUCGGACUUACUGGGCGUAAAGCGCGCGUAGGCGGCUUUUCAAGUCAGGGGUGAAAUCCCGGGGCUCAACCCCGGAACUGCCCUUGAAACUGGAUGGCUAGAAUACUGGAGAGGUGAGUGGAAUUCCGAGUGUAGAGGUGAAAUUCGUAGAUAUUCGGAAGAACACCAGUGGCGAAGGCGACUCACUGGACAGUUAUUGACGCUGAGGUGCGAAAGCGUGGGGAGCAAACAGGAUUAGAUACCCCUGUAGU